GGAAAUGCUUUUGCUGGAGGAAAAUCUGCAGACAAGUUUAUACACAGAGGAGGGAUUCUGCAGAGACUCUCUCUGUACAUGUGGUGCCGUGACCGAAGACGUGGCAACAUCUGUCAACAUUUACUGCUGGAGAUAAAAAGAGCUGCGCACGAAGCAAGGCCCGGCUCUGAGAGAGGAACCGCGGGGUGAUUAAAGUGGAGCUGCGGGGCCUCUUCCUCCAGGACACGGUCAAAGCUUUUUCUUCUUCUUCUGAUGCCUCUGCACACGGAGGAGAGGACUCUCUCACCUGUCCUUAAAUACACAGUGAAAGGUAUUCAGGAGGGAGCGGACGACGUCGCCCCCGCCGGACAAUUUACUGCCCGUCUCUGGGAAUUCCACAUGAUCCAGUUCUCGUUGUUUCCCAUGGCGAGCCAGACACCCAGACACAGGUGGAUUAACACAGGUUCGCUUCUCUGCCGACGCCGACGUCCACGUUUUCACCGCACAG